CCCCGAGUGGCUGAGUGGUCUAAAGCGCUCUCCGUUACGGAUCACUGCCAUCUCACCUCUGUCUGCGUUGGUUCGAUUCUAAGAUUCGGGGA